GAUGAACGCUAGCGGCAGGCUUAAUACAUGCAAGUCGAGGGACAGCACAGGUAGCAAUACUGGGUGGUAACCGGCAAACGGGUGCGGAACACGUACACAACCUUCCUUUAAGUGGGGGAUAGCCCAGAGAAAUUUGGAUUAAUACCCCGUAAUAUAGUUGAAUGGCAUCAUUUGAUUAUUAUAGCUACGGCGCUUAAUGAUGGGUGUGCGGCUGAUUAGAUAGUUGGCGGGGUAACGGCCCACCAAGUCUACGAUCAGUAGCUGAUGUGAGAGCAUGAUCAGCCACACAGGCACUGAUACACGGGCCCGACUCCUACGGGAGGCAGCAGUAAGGAAUAUUGGUCAAUGGACGCAAGUCUGAACCAGCCAUGCCGCGUGAAGGAUUAAGGUCCUCUGGAUUGUAAACUUCUUUUAUUUGGGACGAAAAAGGGCCUUUCUAGGUCAACUGACGGUACCAGAUGAAUAAGCACCGGCUAACUCCGUGCCAGCCGCCGCGGUAAAAC
rnacentral:rRNA from 1 species